rnacentral:snRNA from 1 species
AUGCUCACUUGGGCAGCACAUAUACUAAAAUUGGAACAGUAUGGAGAAGAUUAGCAUGGCCACUGUGCAAGGAUGACAUGCAAAUUCGUGAAGCGUUCUCUCUCUUU